rnacentral:snRNA from 1 species
UGAUGUGCUGGCGAUCUGGCUGCGACAUCUGUCACCCCAUUGAUGGCCAGGUUCGUUUCAGCUGACCUGGCUGGCUAGGCGGGUGUCCCCUUCCUCCCUCACCGCUCUGUGUGUGUCCCUCCGGAAACCGUGUGCUUGGUGGAAGAGGUCGACCUUCCCCUGAAUAGAGGAGGACCUUCAGGGGUACAUGAGUAGCUGCACCCCCAUGCUAGAACCCCCAAACAAGACCUCAAAGUCUUUCCUUUUAGGCCGGAGCUACCAAGUGAAUUCCAGGUCAGCCUGGGCUAAAGUGAGACCCACCUCAAAAAAACAGCAACAAACAGUCUUUCUUU